ensembl:lncRNA
CUUUAGACUGCUUAUGGUUAGGGUCAGUGCUGAUAUCACGAAGAGGGGGGCGGUGUUGAGGUGCUCGUUAGCGGUAAUUAGCAACAGCUGAGGCUGCAGGUGAGUCUCAGGAAGUGAGACUCUGGGUAGAGAGUCUCUGAAGGUUCUGCAGGUGAGACUCUGAGUUUAUAGGAUUAAAACAGAGAGCGCGCAGAUUUGUGGAAGACACUGUUAUGAGAGAACUUUUGGUCAUAAAUACACGAUGGAAUUCAAAGCAUGGGAUGUUCACCUGGAGAUGAGGCCUGCCGGUGCGGCGUGUCAUGGAGAGAACACACAGCUGGCUGUGGACCUGCGGUGAAUACCUCGCACCUAAACCCCUAGAUAGGAGAUUUGUCCCGAGUGUGUGUGGAGAAGGCUGGUUUACCCUGUACACACGGACAACCAAAUUGAAACCUACUCCCCCCAAAUCACUAUACCCUAACAUAAAAGAAGAACUACCAUACCCCAUUGUCCCCAGGCCAACCCAGGGUGACCCGCCAACCCGCCCCUCCUCCUCCAUCCUGGAGACCGGAGGCCUGGGCUGCUGCCUUGCCUGGCAUAGCUGUCAGAGGACGUUGCGGUGGCAGGGCUGUCUGGGCGGGCUUGGUGGAGGUCCAACAGCUGGGCUGCGGUGCUGGGUCCGCCUGGGCAGCUAACUGCAGACACACUCUUUGGUGGUGGUGCUGAAAUACCCCAGGAAGAAGCAACUUAAUAGUUUGCCAAUGUUUUUCUCAUGUUUGUUAUUUGUGCAGCAUUACAUUCUUUCUGUUAACUUUGCUAAGAUUGAACGUGAGUUCGGUAAGAGUUAUCAUUUGGGUGGGAUGCAUGCUCAUUGCCAUCGGUCAGUUAUCACUUGCUCUCCAUAAACUUUUGUUCUGGUAGAUUGCGUGCCUGACUCUGCAUGAGACAAAUUAUUUCUAUUUUAUACUGCCCCUGGCUAAUUUCUGACCAAUCAGGGCAUCCCUUACCAGAUGUUCAGGGAAUCCAUCGUGCCCGUAAAUUACAAAUCUUGCCCUCUUCCUCUGUUUGGAGCUUUCUCUCAUUCACACAUGGAAUAGUCACUCUCACUUCUUUACGUUGUGUAUAUGUUUCAUGCAGCCUCUGUUGAUCUUCACCUAGCCUUCACCUAGCCUUUUCUCGACCCUCGGGUAAGGGGGUUGAUUUCGUUGGGCGACCGUGUGGGGUACGGCUCCACGCAAAACGUUAAUGUUUUCCAUUCAUUUGCUGUGCACAAUGGGACUCUUCCUUACUGUCCCAUACUUGGAGCAAGUUACAUUUGCAACUUCAAUAAAGUCAAGGCAUGUUUCUCAUUGGUUGUUAACCUUUUCACUCACAGAAAUGUAGGCACGGCAUGGGUGGAUAGGGUUUACUGAUCUGCAUUUUUUUUUUUAAUCACAUUUGUUUCACCAAUAUGUUUCACCACAGGUCUGUUUUUCUAGAAGUACUUCCCCUGGUGUACGGUCCUUGAUAGGCAUGUGCUUGCAUAUCAAUCUAGACCUCCUCCUGAUAAGUUGGCGGUUAUUGGCACAGCUAAAAAAAGUGAACCUGUAAAAUGUGUAAAAAAAUAAUGUACAACGUGUAAGGAUCACGUUGUACCAUCAAUAAUUCCCAUUAAGACCACAGAUAUUGAUGUAGAUAUUGAGGUAUGGAUGAAUAGGUUUCUAUCUCGCUCUCACCAUCUCUAUCCAUCUAUCCAGUAUGUUACAUGAACAAUCUGGCUCCUUGUAAUCAAAUCCUUAUGACUUACUAACCUGCCUCUACAGUCCCAUCUCAUUUUGCAGCAACCUCACGUGCAUAUUUAUGAAGCCUUCUGCGUCAUUUACUUUAACUAAGUAAUUAUGUCUUAAUGGCAUCCUGGUGAUAAAUUAGUUCCAACAACAACCCUCUUUUUAUUAUCCACUGUUUUAAUUUAAGUGAAAUUGAUGUGUCAUGUGACAUGCCUUUUGAGAUUUGUUAUCGCUGCAGAACAUUUUACGCAAUAAACGCAAUUCUCUGUGCUAAUCAUUUCUGUUUCUGAAUG